UCGCCUACGGGAGGCAGCAGUAGGGAAUUUUCGUCAAUGGGCGCAAGCCUGAACGAGCGAUGCCGCGUGAGUGAAGAAGGCCUUCGGGUCGUAAAGCUCUGUUGCGGGGGAAAAAAGGCAGCAUCAGGAAAUGGGUGCUGACUGAUGGUGCCCCGCCAGAACGUCACGGCUAACUACGUGCCAGCAGCCGCGGUCAUACGUAGGUGGCGAGCGUUAUCCGGAAUGCUUGGGCGUAAAGGGUGCGCAGGCGGUCCUGCCUGUCUGGAGUGA
rnacentral:rRNA from 1 species